rnacentral:rRNA from 1 species
CAAAUCAUAGACAAAAACACAUCGCCCACUUGUGCUGGGUAGAUUCCGGGAGCCCCCUAGCAAAUAUAGAAGGAAUAGCAUCGCCACCUCCGGACAUGCGUGUGCGAUUCCACCCAGUAGCAAGCGAGCGGGGGGCGGGGCCCGCCGGCAGCGGGACGCCGCAGCAGAUCCCCGUCCCACUUGUCCGCCCCCAUUAUCUUAAUAUUAUUCUGGUCCACUACCCGCCACAUCUCCCACCAGCCACAUUUGAUCCCCCCCUCCCCCACAUAUGGCACCCCAGCUCCCGCUGCCUCCCCUACUCCUCUCUCCGUCUCGUCGCCGCCUCCUCACCCGCCGCCGACGCCGACGCACCGCGCCAGCAGCCUGACGCGAGUUCCGGUGUGGUGACGCCAAGCGCCGUGCAGCAUGGACAUCGACCCUUCCUCGGUCUCCCACGCCGACGGCGGGGGCGACCUGUGGCCGUUCGACUCGCUCACCACGUCCCUCUUCUUCUCCUCCGUCUCCUCCUCCCCGCCGCUCCACCCGCUGCCCGUCGCUUCCUCCUCGUGGCUCACGCCGCCGUCUCCGCUCUGGCUCUUCGAGGACCGCCAGAUGAUGCCGAUCGAGGUGGGCCCUGCGCCCGCCGCGGCGCCGGACAAUACUGCCGCCGUCGCAGAGGAGGCCCAGCGAGCACGCUCCGGGAAUUCGGACACGCCAAUUAAGAAGACCGAACGUCUCAACAACAAAUGGCAAUUUAACCUAGCUCUGCAUGACGAUAGCACGAACAGCUCAUGCUUGUUCAAGGAGAAGCUGACUCAUGCUCUCAGGUACUUCAAGGAGUCAACAGAUCAACACCUGUUGGUCCAGGUUUGGGCGCCGGUUAAGAGUGGCGAUCGCUAUGUGCUUACUACAUCAGGACAACCCUUUGUACUUGACCACCAGAGCAUUGGGCUGCUUCAGUACAGGGCUGUAUCCAUGAUGUACAUGUUCUCAGUAGAUGGAGAUAAUGCUGGGGAGCUUGGGUUACCUGGACGUGUCUACAAGCAAAAAGUGCCUGAGUGGACACCAAAUGUGCAGUAUUAUAGCAGCACUGAGUACCCACGGCUUAACCAUGCCAUCAGUUACAAUGUUCAUGGUACCGUUGCCUUGCCUGUUUUUGAUCCCUCUGUUCAAUCAUGUAUUGCUGUCGUCGAACUUAUAAUGACAUCGAAGAAGAUAAACUAUGCCGAUGAGGUUGAUAAAGUCUGCAAAGCUCUUGAGGCAGUAAAUCUUAAAAGCACUGAGAUAUUGGAGCAUCCAAAUGUCCAGAUUUGCAAUGAAGGCCGUCAAUCUGCCCUGGUGGAGAUACUGGAGAUCCUGACAGUUGUAUGUGAAGAGCACAAGCUUCCAUUAGCACAAACAUGGGUUCCUUGCAAAUAUCGAAGUGUGUUGGCGCAUGGUGGUGGUGUUAAGAAAAGUUGCUUGAGCUUUGAUGGAAGUUGCAUGGGGGAAGUCUGCAUGUCAACCAGUGAUGUGGCAUUUCAUGUGAUUGAUGCUCAUAUGUGGGGAUUCCGAGAUGCCUGUGUAGAACACCAUCUACAGAAGGGACAGGGAGUUUCUGGCAAGGCGUUUAUCUAUCACAGACCUUGCUUUUCAAAAGAUAUCAGUCAGUUUUGUAAGCUGGAGUACCCCCUUGUGCACUAUGCUCGUAUGUUUGGAUUGGCUGGCUGCUUUGCUAUAUGUUUACAAAGUCCUUAUACUGGUGAUGAUUAUUAUAUGCUAGAGUUUUUCCUGCCACCCAGUUGUAAAGAGGAAGAUGAUCAAAAUGCCUUGUUGGAGUCUAUAUUAGGUCUGAUCAAUCAGUGUCUCCGUAAUCUGAAGGUAGCUGGUAAUGGAGAAUCCAACAAAGCUUCUCUUCAACUUAGUAAUGUCAUAAUGAUUGAAAGUGAAGAUUUCAAGACAAAUGUGCAUUUUGAGAACUCUGAAGGUUUUCGUGAAUCGCCCGAAGGUGAAACACAUGGAGGAGCCCACGAGUUCGAUAAAGCGAAUAGUAAAGUAUCAGAGGGACAUUUGUUGGCUGAUGAUAACUCUCAUAACAAUGGCGUAUCUGUCUCCAGGCCAAAUGGUAGCGCGGCUUCUGAUUCUUCAUUGCUUCACAAAAAUGGCAAACCCCCUGAAAGGAGACGGGGGAAAGCUGAAAAAACAAUCAGCUUAGAAGUUCUUCAGCAAUAUUUUUCUGGAAGUCUGAAAAAUGCAGCAAAAAGCCUUGGUGGUACGGUUCUAAUAUUUAGCUUUUUAAGUAAACAAAUCCUUGGCUUUUCGAGUCUUAACUCUUUCUGAUUGCUAAGAUGGCCCCACUUACCUUGGGUUCAAUUUGACAAUCUAGUCCUCUUGAAUAUGGAUAUCAGAUGAAUUAUCCAAUUGGUAAUCUAGUUUAUGUUUGUUUCUUGUAGGGCUUAAAUGGCAACAAAAUGUUGCAGCAUGCAGUGAGCUUAUAUGUUGCAUCCAUUUUUUCUUUUAUUGUUCUAUUAUUCAGAAAAUAUCAUCCCAGUGUAGUUGGCAUUUGGGGUUUUAGUUCCAUUUUUCUUGUUGUCAUGACACCAUAGAUGUGACACUUGUUCCUGUUGAAGUCAUGACACCAUAGAUGUGACACCUGUUCCUGUUGAAUUCUAAAAUUGCAGAACGUAGACUCAGUGGAAGGGUUUUGGGUUUUGGAAUUGAUUAGAAGACAGAGACCCUCCAGUUUAGCAUUUAGAUAUGGUAGGGUGCAAAAAAUGUUUUUGGCAACAAAUAGGUUUUUCAUGUGAAGCAUAGCAUGUCAUAUUGUCAUUCUUUUUAGAGGCUGAUGCUUUUUGUAGCUAACUGAUACUCAUAUCACUUUGUGUCGACUAGCAGAACUUGGGAAGGGAAGGAUGAUGAACUGUUGAUUGUUUUUUGAGAUUGAAACUAGAUCUAUGUUUCUUUCUUCAGUUUAGGUGAACUUGAACCAUGUACAUUAUGUUGUUCAGGGUGCAUUCAUUCACAUACAUAUUGAGUAGGCAUCAAUCGAUGCAUUGUCUUAUUCACAGUCUAGUAGAUUUUGUAGGCAAGCUCACACUAGUAAAUGUGUACUAUGGAUUUGUAUGGGUGGGUAGCUAUACAAUAUACACAGUGCACCAAUGGUAUUUACGGAAAGCCCUGAAGUUCGCCAGUAAGUCAAUUUAGUUAAGAUUGAGGAUGUUUUGUUUGACAUGAUUAAAACAAAGGCACAGACUAUAGAUAAUAAUAAUAAAUCUGACACCAGACAUAGAACAUCACAAGAACUGUCAUCCUAGUGAUAUGUCAAUCUUUUGUUUAAGUGGAAACAAAAAGGAAUUUAUCUUUCUUAUAUGUUGUGUAGCAAGGCACACAACGGGCUAAACACCCCCGGGAGGAUGUCCAGGUGGAGUCAGCUUGGUUAGGGAAGAGAUUAGAACUUAGAUGACAAGAGAUGACUCCGGGGAAGGAAUAGAUUUAUUUCUCAUUUCUUAUCCUCUAAUAAUCGAGUACUACACCUUUAAUAACUGGCAACUAGGGAAACAAACCUAAAGAUCACUGAUUAUUAUGGUGAUAGAUAACAUGAGCUUAUCUCCUUUGUGCCGCCGACCAGCCGUAGGACAAUGGCCCACCUCCUAUUGUUAGCCAUGAAAAUAUGUAUAGAAGCAACCUAGCAAAAUGAAUCUUGUUAAUAUGCCCACCUUCACCAGAUAUCACCAGCGGUCUAAUUUGCUUGUCGUAACCUUCUGAAGGAAACUAAGUCUGGGCUUGUGCAUGAAUCAUGAAUGUGUAUUUUGUAAGCUGGCUUCCUUUAUUUAAAAAUCCUUUUUCCUUUGACCCGUUUGCUUCUUCUGAAUCUAAAAGAUAGUAGAUGCAUUGAACGUUUAAUCCUGCAAUGGUAAUAACAUUGUCGGGGUUCGACUGUUGGAUAUUGGCAUUAGCUAAUUAUAUUUUCGGUUUGACAGUGUGCCCCACAACCAUGAAGCGCAUCUGCAGGCAACAUGGGAUUUCUCGUUGGCCAUCCCGAAAAAUUAACAAGGUCAACCGGUCUCUCUCGAAGUUAAAGCAAGUAAUUGAGUCUGUUCAAGGCUCAGACGCGGCAUUUAACCUGACAUCUAUCACAGGCCCUCUCCCUACUAUUCCUGUUGGCCCUUCAUCAGAUUCUUUCAAUAAAGAGAAAGCAAGUGAAAGUAAAGCAGAACAUUCAAAUCGUGCUGUUGAUGGUGACAGAGAUUCAUCUUUACAGAAGUCACAGGAAACUGGUAGCCACUUUGGUGCACUCAUGUCCCAGCAAGGAUUUGCAGACACUGGGAACAAUGUUCAACUUGAAGCAGACAAAGCUUCUCUCUCGAGAAGCUCAUCGGGAGAAGGCAGCAUAAAUUCACGUACUUCGGAGGGCUCAUGUCAGGGAAGUCCCGCAAACCAGACGUUUGUUUGCCAGCCUAUUGCUUCAAUGUUCUUGGAACCACAAGAACCACAACUGAAUCCGGAAGGGUUCACAAAAGAACCUUUCCAAGAACCAGAGCUACCACUUUCCAGGAUGCUCAUAGAGGAUUCUGGUAGUUCCAAGGAUUUGAAGAAUCUCUUUGGUUCAGCAAUUGGCCAACCAAUGUUAGCCCCUCCCAGCAAUUUUGGGCCAAUGCGAAAUUCGGGGACUGUGACGAUAAAGGCGAGCUUUAAGGAAGACAUUGUAAGGUUCCGUUUCCCGUGUUCUAGCAGCGUUAUGGCUUUGAAAGAUGAGGUUGCCAAAAGGCUGAGGAUGGAUGCUGGCAUGUUUGAUAUCAAGUACCUUGACGAUGAUCACGAGUGGGUGAAGUUGGCGUGCAAUGCGGACUUGGAAGAAUGCAUAGAAAUCUCCCGGCAUUCUGGUACCCAUGUCAUCAGGCUGUUGGUUAGCGACGUUGCGGCCCACAUUGGUAGUUCUUGUGGAAGCUCCGGUUGACACCCAGAUCAACGUUUUUAACUUUUUUUUUCCUUUUUCAAUGGGUAUGUACAAGUUGUUCCAGGAGGUCAGUUUUUACUUGUUGUUAAGCUAGUUGUGUUGCUAGAUAGCAUUAGCAGCUUUACUGUGUUCGACUGAAGCACCAAUUUUUUUCUUGUACGAAUAUGUGUAACGCUGCAAGAUGCGCGUGUUGUCGAUGAUGUACAUAUUUAGCACGUGGUGCUGGAAGUCCUGGGGGUACAGUAAAAAACCGAAGUUGUUGUAAUAUGGCACUUUUGUUUUCCAGAAAUUGAACAGUUUUGGAAGUUCGUUCUUUCUAUUCACUUU